CCUACGGGAGGCAGCAGUGGGGAAUAUUGCACAAUGGGGGAAACCCUGAUGCAGCGACGCCGCGUGAGCGAUGAAGUAUUUCGGUAUGUAAAGCUCUAUCAGCAGGGAAGAAGAUGACGGUACCUGACUAAUAAGCCCCGGCUAACUACGUGCCAGCAGCCGCGGUAAGACGUAGGGGGCAAGCGUUAUCCGGAUUUACUGGGUGGAAAGGGAGCGUAGACGGCGAUGCAAGCCAGAUGUGAAAGCCCGGGGCUCAACCCCGGGACUGCAUUUGGAACUGUGUGGCUGGAGUGUCGGAGAGGUAGGCGGAAUUCCUAGUGUAGCGGUGAAAUGCGUAGAUAUUAGGAGGAACACCAGUGGCGAAGGCGGUCUGCUGGACGAUGACUGACGUUGAGGCUCGAAAGCGUGGGGAGCAAACAGGAUUAGAUACCCCGGUAGUC
rnacentral:rRNA from 1 species